rnacentral:rRNA from 1 species
AUUGAACGCUGGCGGAAUGCUUUACACAUGCAAGUCGAGCGGCAGCGCGGGGCAACCUGGCGGCGAGCGGCGAACGGGUGAGUAAUGCAUCGGAACAUGUCCAUGUCGUGGGGGAUAGCCCGGCGAAAGCCGGAUUAAUACCGCAUAAGCCCGAGAGGGGAAAGUGGGGACCGCAAGGCCUCACGCGAUUGGGUUGGCCGAUGUCCGAUUAGCUAGUUGGCGGGGUAAGAGCCCACCAAGGCGAUGAUCGGUAGCUGGUCUGAGAGGAUGAUCAGCCACACUGGGACUGAGACACGGCCCAGACUCCUACGGGAGGCAGCAGUGGGGAAUUUUGGACGAUGGGGGCAACCCUGAUCCAGCCAUUCCGCGUGAGUGAAGAAGG